CUGGAUCACCUCCUUAAAGGGAGAACUAAUUCAGGUAGGAGACGAAAAAAAAGUAGUCCCUACCAAGAAUCAAUCCCAAAAGGUCGGAGCGAGGCAAAAUUGGCUUUCAAACUAGGUUCUGGGUUCACACAAGACCUGAAUCAGGAACAAGGGCUAUUAGCUCAGGUGGUUAGAGCGCACCCCUGAUAAGGGUGAGGUCCCUGGUUCGAGUCCAGGAUGGCCCAUCUGUACAGGUGGCAAAAAGAAAGAAAAGAAGCGAGGAAUCAGCACCUUAUCUUACUUAUAUAGUAAGAGAGAAUGCUGGCUCUGAGUUCAGAGUCCAGAGGAACCUUGAAAACUGCAUAGAGCUAGGUGAAAAAGCCAAAAAAGAAGACCGCAAGGUCAAGCUAAUAAGGGC
rnacentral:tRNA from 1 species